rnacentral:rRNA from 1 species
AUUGAACGCUGGCGGCAUGCCUUACACAUGCAAGUCGAACGGUAACAGGUCUUCGGAUGCUGACGAGUGGCGAACGGGUGAGUAAUACAUCGGAACGUGCCUAGUAGUGGGGGAUAACUACUCGAAAGAGUGGCUAAUACCGCAUGAGAUCUACGGAUGAAAGCAGGGGAUCGCAAGACCUUGUGCUACUAGCGCGGCCGAUGGCAGAAUAGGUAGUUGGUGGGAUAAAAGCUUACCAAGCCGACGAUCUGUAGCUGGUCUGAGAGGACGAUCAGCCACACUGGGACUGAGACACGGCCCAGACUCCUACGGGAGGCAGCAGUGGGGAAUUUUGGACAAUGGGCGCAAGCCUGAUCCAGCAAUGCCGCGUGCAGGAUGAAGGCCUUCGGGUUGUAAACUGCUUUUGUACGGAACGAAAAGCCCUGGGUUAAUACCCUGGGGUCAUGACGGUACCGUAAGAAUAAGCACCGGCUAACUACGUGCCAGCAGCCGCCGUAA